rnacentral:rRNA from 1 species
AGAUUGAACGCUGGCGGCAGGCCUAACACAUGCAAGUCGAGCGGCAGCACGGGUACUUGUACCUGGUGGCGAGCGGCGGACGGGUGAGUAAUGCCUAGGAAUCUGCCUGAUAGUGGGGGAUAACGUUCGGAAACGGACGCUAAUACCGCAUACGUCCUACGGGAGAAAGUGGGGGAUCUUCGGACCUCACGCUAUCAGAUGAGCCUAGGUCGGAUUAGCUAGUUGGUAGGGUAAAGGCCUACCAAGGCUACGAUCCGUAACUGGUCUGAGAGGAUGAUCAGUCACACUGGAACUGAGACACGGUCCAGACUCCUACGGGAGGCAGCAGUGGGGGAAUAUUGGGACAAGUGGGACGAAAGCCUGAUCCAGCCAUGGCCGCGUGUGU